rnacentral:rRNA from 1 species
AAACUUGGGCUAAUACCGCAUGAGCCCUGAGGGGGAAAGCGGGGGAUCUUCGGACCUCGCGCUAAGGGAAGAGCCUACGUCUGAUUAGCUAGUUGGUAGGGUAAAGGCCUACCAAGGCGACGAUCAGUAGCUGGUCUGAGAGGACGACCAGCCACACUGGGACUGAGACACGGCCCAGACUCCUACGGGAGGCAGCAGUGGGGAAUUUUUCGCAAUGGGGGCAACCCUGACGAAGCAAUGCCGCGUGGAUGAAGAAGGCCUUCGGGUUGUAAAGUCCUUUCGUGGGGGACGAAAAGGCGGGUCCUAAUACGAUCUGCUGUUGACGUGAACCCAAGAAGAAGCACCGGCUAACUCCGUGCCAGCAGCCGCGGUAAUACGGGGGGUGCAAGCGUUAAUCGGAAUCACUGGGCGUAAAGGGUGCGUAGGCGGUACGUUGGGUCUGUCGUGAAAUCCCCGGGCUCAACCUGGGAAUGGCGGUAGAAACCGGCGCACUAGAGUAUGGGAGAGGGUGGUGGAAUUCCAGGUGUAGCGGUGAAAUGCGUAGAGAUCUGGAGGAACAUCAGUGGCGAAGGCGGCCACCUGGCCCAAUACUGACGCUGAGGCACGAAAGCGUGGGGAGCAAACAGGAUUAGAUACCCUGGUAGUCCACGCCCUAAACGAUGAAUACUAGAUGUUUGGUACCUAGCGUACUGAGUGUCGUAGCUAACGCGAUAAGUAUUCCGCCUGGGAAGUACGGCCGCAAGGUUAAAACUCAAAGGAAUUGACGG